UUAAAGGAAUUGACGGGGCCCGCACAAGCGGUGGAGCAUGUGGUUUAAUUCGAUGCAACGCGAAAAACCUUACCUGGGCUUGACAUCUCUCGGAACCCGGUAGAAACAUCGGGGUGCCCGCAAGGGAGCCGUAACACAGGUGCUGCAUGGCUGUCGUCAGCUCGUGUCGUGAGAUGUUGGGUUAAGUCCCGCAACGAGCGCAACCCUUGUCAUUAGUUGCUACAUUCAGUUGGGCACUCUAAUGAGACUGCCGGUGACAAGCCGGAGGAAGGUGGGGAUGACGUCAAGUCCUCAUGGCCCUUAUAGGUGGGGCUACACACGUCAUACAAUGGCUGGUACAAAGGGUUGCCAACCCGCGAGGGGGAGCCAAUCCCAUAAAGCCAGUCGUAGUCCGGAUCGUAGUCUGCAACUCGACUACGUGAAGUCGGAAUCGCUAGUAAUCGUGGAUCAGAAUGUCACGGUGAAUACGUUCCCGGGUCUU
rnacentral:rRNA from 1 species